GAUAGGGGUGCAGGAUGUGCGGAGGGGAGGGGGAGGUCGAGAAGGGGUCCGUUGCUAGAUGGGGGAGAGGAUAUGGCGAGGGUGGCUCUGCGGCGCGCACUCAGCGAGUUUACAUUUAAAUGUAAAAGUGCCGAGUGCUGCUAGGCGAAAGCUGCUGUUUUGCAUUCGAAAGCUCAUGAUUGCCUCUGAGCUUUGCUUUUGACGUCGAGCGUUUCUCUCAACCGACGGACGGCGAGAGGCCGCUAGUCGAGGCUGCGCGGAGAGUUCCGCCGCGUUUCGAGCAGAUGGAACGAGCUCAGAGCUUCCGGAAAAAUUUCGCACAAACGGAAUCGACGAUUAUCUCGAAAACCGGUCUCGGAACGAGUGCGCCAAUUAAUCAACUCCGGUUGUCACACUCCUCGCGUGGCCAUCAACCAUACCCAAACCCCUCUCUGAUUGUCAUUAAUAUAUUAAUCGGAUGCUCGUUAAGCGCGAAAUAUAAUCGUGUCGCGCCAGUCAACGAGUUAAAUGGAUCGACGGCUAAUUAACAACGGCCAUCUAGCCACCGUCACAAGGAAAUCCGAUGAAUUUUCGGCCAUUUCUCUAAUGUUCAAUUUCUUUUCUUUUUCUUUCCUAUAAAAUUCCUCCGCGUUUUUAACCACCUUCUCGAUUUUUCAGGAUUCGACGUCAAGAUUCUCGUCAAUUAAACGGGUGGACGAAGAUUAAUUAAUCGGACGAUCCUCCAGCCAUCGUCGAGCACGAAAUUCGAAUGAAUGAAUUUUUAUGAAAGUUCCCUUCCACGAUAUUUCGCUAUAUCUUUUAAUUAUUUUCCGAACUAUUUUCGAAGAUUUUCGCCAAGGUUCUAAUCAAUUCUCGGAACGAAACGACAGACACACGAGGUUACGAGCUAACCCGCUGUUAUUCUUCUAAUAUGUAUGUUUCUUAUGUGCGCCGGUAAAAGGGCUUCGUGCAAUUUCCUAUGAUAGAUCGAGUCCCGCGGACAAGUUCCAUUACGGCCAGCCUCUGAAUUAUUGAACUGGCAAUUCCCUGGCGACACGCGGGACACCCUGCAUCAAAGUGUCAACGGGCUCAUUAAGUCUCCAAAUCAGGAUCUUUUUUACGAAACGUGUAUAUAUAUAUCCAAACGAUUCGAAUCCUAUCCUGUUCUCUGUCGAAUGGAAGAAGAAUACGACGCUUGGGCAACGAAUGUUUGGAGGAGGAGGAGAUCCGCUGACGUCAUCAAGGACAAUGAGAACCUCGCCGGUAACGCAAUUACCGUUGAAACAGAGAGGGUCGCGGAGGUGUCGGGGCAACCCCUCCGUGACGGUUGCCGAAAAUUCAUUUUGCCGCGCGUUUAAAAUUUUCAUCGGUCCUCUAAUUUUCGCCGUCAUCGCAACUGAUCGCAUUUGCCGAAUAAUUUCCCCUCUCGCCUCGCCCUCGUAAUUGCUCGCGCGAGAGGGGAAAGGGGGAGGGUGACGAUUCCACGGGAACGAGAGCAACGCGUCGUUUCUCAUACAUUGCGAUCUCUCUCUCUCUCUUUUUCUUUCCUCAACCACCCGGCUGCGCAUCGGCUGUCUCUCCGAACGAUGUUUUAUUCAUGCACAUCGGGCAUCGAAAGUGUUGCCGGAGUCGGCGUUUAAGUACACCGCAAACCGCCUUUCCUUGAAACCAUAGAAUACUUUAACGCCUCGGCUAAUUGGCCGGAUACGUGUUACGAAUGAAAGUUUCGAGCUGGAAGCCUCGAUUGCGUAUCAUUUCGACCUGUCUAUUCUCUUCCGAACCCCCCUUUCGCGAGGAACAAUAUUCGUUUGAUUUGCAUUACGUGAUUCUUCAAAAAGAAUAAUUUUUUUUUAAAAUUGGAAAGAAAAACAAAGAGUUCCUACUGGAUUUCGAUUGGAUAUUUUCUACAUCGAAUAUCGUUACGAUACGGCAUUUAAUUAUUUGUAUCUAAUUAGGAAUUCAUUUGAAAAGACUUUUUAUAUAAGACGUUGUUUCACAAUUAUUCGCCAGGGGAACAGAAAACUGUUGGAUUAAAACGCGGAAUAAAGUCUAGACGAUCGGUUUUUCGGAUUGGAAGCGAUUAGCAUCCGAUCGAUUUUGGAGGAGCGGCGGACCAGUUUUUCGCUCGCUAGUUUGUUUCACUUUCUCACUAUGCAUAAUGCAUGAGAGGAGUUUAAAUUCUGCCCGCGUGGCAAACAAAUCGUUGCCUUCGAUAAUAUUCCCAAAGAUACACACACACACACAUAUAUACAUAUAUAUAUAGUUUUAACGAUCGCUAAGAAACGAUGAUAGCGUCGCUUUCGAAGAAAUCGGUGGAGCGAUAUUUUUUUGCAAGUGAUUCGAUCGAUGAUUCGCGCGACCCUCUUUCCAAGGCGGGCCUCUCGAUUAAAGGACAGUUACGGAGUCGUGUGAUUAAGCCGAGGCGGAUAUCGCGUGGUCUCGAUUGGUCGCCAUAUCACGAAUGCUCGGGGCGUGGUUCGGUUACGGAGCUGCUCUCGGCCAACCGUUCUCUCCUUUCAAUUAUUAUUUAAUUAAGCUAAUUGGCGGGAUGGGUCGAAGAGGCAACCGCGAUUUGCUGGCCGCUCGAGAGGAGUUCUGGAGAUCGUUAAGUCGACGUAAACUCUUCGUGGAAUUCGAACGAAUCGUAGGUACCGUUUCGUACGUGAGCAGAAUCGCGAAAUCGGAUAAACUGCGAAUUAUCUGUAAUGAUUAUUGCAAAGAUCAGGUCUUUUUUUUCUUUUUUGCUUGAAACUUUUUCUUCUUCUUUUUAUUGUCCUCGUUCUGCGAGGAAUCGAUAUGACGUAAUGGGAAACUGGAAACGAUUAGCAUAAGAUAGUCGAUGAAACGAUGAACGGAAGAUAGGGUAGUAAAAUAUAUUACAAGUGGGUUUGAAUUAUGCGUAAUGAGUUCUGCGAAUAUUUUUUACAACUCGCAAUUGUUGUUAAAGAAGCAAAAUAAUAGUUAUCAAUCUGAUUUCUUCCAUUUUUCAAGCGUUAUCCAUAUUAUUAUAUUAAAUGAAAUAAGUAAUAAUCCGAUAUGAUAUUUUGAAAUAUUCGAAAAAUCAUUGUUAGCAUAGAUAAAUCAGAUUAUUCCUAACUUAAGGAAAGAUAAAAGAUGUCAAGUAUUACAAUACAUCUUCGAAGAUGAAAAAAAAUACUAGACAUUUCAACUUGUAUAAAAUUUACAAUGAAAUUUGCAAAGUUAGAUACAUACUUACGUCAUUUCUUUCUUUUUUUCUUUAGCUUAGAAAACUAAAAUGGACACCAAAAGUAAUCCUCCUCUGGAUCUAAGUAACCAUCUCAUCGAAUGCAACCCUGGCAAUGCACGAACAUUGAAUUAUCGAAUAUAAUCCAUGCAACAACAUAUUGAUCCAUAUAUAUUACCAAUUGAUAUCGCAUUACGAACAAAUCUAAAUUUAUUUUCCAGAUAAAUACACAUAAACAAUGGAGGAGCAACAUCCCUUACGAAGCCUCAAUCAAUAAUUCCACUAUCGAUUCAUCGAUCUUUUACAUCGAUGUCGAAUCACAUUAAUCGAGCAAAGUAAGGAGCAAACUUUCAUCCGAUAAAUAUUGAUUCAUCGACCACCGAUAACGAUAAUGACAAUCUUCCUCUAAUAUAAAUCUUUCGAUAGGGAAGCAAGAAUAACAGACUUCGUACGUAUCUGAAAACAACGCUCGUCUUGGUUUCCAUAUAUCUUUUUCUUCGUGUACGAGCGGCAGAGAAUUUUGCAAAAUUAUGCAGUCCAACAUAACGUGCCAUUUCGGGGCGGGAGGGGAGUAUCGCGCGAGUACACAUCGAGACACGUGAGCAUAAAUUGGCCCGACGCAAAAUUGGCCUGACAGUUUAACUAUGACAAAAGCACAAUAGAAUGCGCCGUUUCCUGAACGCAGCAUGCGGCUGUAAUUUCUCUGUCUGUCCAUCCGUCUCUCCAUCCUCGGCUCUCUCACUCCCCUUCCCCCCUCUCUUUCUCGCUUAACGAUCUCUCUCUCCCUCUCUCUCGCCGCGGUCCUCCCCCUCCCCCUGUUUUCCAUCUUUGUCGCCCACUUUUUCGCCGCCUAUUUCCAUCCCCGGCCGUUUUCAAAUGGCGGAUAUCGCGGACAGUUUAAUACCGUGUCGCCGUCACGAACGCUUGUUAGCGGAUGAUACUUUGAUCCGAUAGAAAAUAGACUGGAAACUUGGCUGGUUACGAGACACGAAAUUAAGCUUGUUUAUAUUCCAUAACGAAGGAUUUUUUCGAACGGGUUUCGCUCCCAGUGAUUUCCUCGGUGGUUUGAAAAAAUUUCGACCUCGGGUGAAAUCUUUUAUUUUAAAUAUCGGUCAGAGUAUUUAAUGAAAUCUUGGAAAUUAAGCAUGCAAACGGCGUUGCGUUAAUUCCAGUAGGAGAAUUCUGAACAUUCUAAAAAAAUCGGCUUUGAUGACGGUUGUUAUCAUGACACGUCCUCUCUCGCGACCGUGAAUAACAAGGAACCAACCACUUCUACGUAUAAAAUUAACGAUCCGUCUCAUCGAUUAAGCGCACCGUCAACACUUCCUCGAAAUUGUUAACGAUUCUACGCGAGUCUCUGAAAAACGACGACGUCGAGCCUUCUCUCAAAAUUAAUUCAAACUGUGAAGGAAAACAAACUGCAUCCCAAAACCACGUCCUGCGACUAACCAAAUCGUCCAAACAAGAGGGAGGGGAAGGGGUAAAAUUACAACUUGCAUUGCAAAAAGGAUGUAAAAAGUUAAAUCGUCGUAGGUUGAAGAAGAAGCACGGUUUCCUCGUCCACUGGUAAAAAGGACGAAUUUUCCACGGAGGGGCCUGGUCUCGUUCUAAGUGGUCGUCGUUUGAUGACGGUUAUUACCAUGAUGCGCUGUUUCCUGCGACCGUGAGUAUCUUCCACCCACACGUCGACAAGAAACGGCUUUGGCCGCCGUUCCUUGCGCGGGUGUGGGUGCAUGCACACGAGGAAAACACGUAGACCGGCACGUAACGGCCGAUUCCGUGCACACAGACUUGGAGGUCCGACCGAUUCAACGGAUGUUGGUUGAACACGAGCGAAAUCUCUCUCUCUCUCUCUUUCUCGUUCUUUCUCGUGAUUUCGUCAUUAUAUAAUACGCUCGUUUACACACAACAUUGUCGUCGCAAAUAUGUCAUUAAUGUCGGAAAUCAGAGGCCCGUAUCGUAACCGCCCUUGCGUGAUGCGGUUUUCCAGAUUUCGCUUUGACGUGAGUGUGCAUCCACGGACGAUAGCAGAUUCUCCGCCCAACAGGAAGUCGCCAAUACGUUUCUGCUAAACGAAUCUUUGUCGUAAGCAACGAAUUACACGGUAUCGAGUGUUUUUCUUCAUCCUUUUUGCGAAUUUUUCAUUAACGUGAUUGCCUUUUCCUUUCCACAGAUUCAUAGAAUAUCCUUUCUAUGUAAACAAUAAGGAAAUAAACGAGAAGAAUUUAAUUUCUCCCAGAGACCAUUACAAUUUAAACUGAGACAGUGAGAAAAACUGGGUGAAAGUGGAAAUCCUUUCAAGGAUUGCAAACGGAUCUUGCUAUGUAACAGCAACAAGAGUAAUAAUAAUAAAUUUCCAAUCAAAGAUUCGCAAAUGUUCGAUCGACAAAAAGGAGGAGGAUCAUCUUUCCCUGUUAUUUUCACCGAUGGAGGCUCGUCGCCGAGGAACUGCCCUCUUUCUCGGUUUCCCGCACCCUUGGGCUAAUCAUGUAACUCGAUUGAAGAGAACGAGCGAGAGCGGGCCAAUAAGAGGCUCCCUUUAAUCGCGUUACUUCGUUACCCCGUCACUCGGUGCGGUGAUAUCAGCGGAAUAUCAAUUGUAGUGAUUAACCAAGACGGCCGUCGUGGCCUGAAACUUCGCCCCCUCCCUCCGUCCUCGUUCCAGGGAGGGACAAAGAGAAGACGAGAGGAUAACAUCUUUUGUCAGUCAGUAAAUUAACUCGGCGGAAUAUUCAAAUCGCCAAGUCCGCUCGAGCGGAGAUCUUCGAGGCAUUUCAAUCGCCCGUCCCAAAAUCGAGAACAAUCCCCGCAAAGAUUGUUUUUUUUCCAAGGAAAACGUUUCUAGACAAAGCAGUUCGCGAAUUUUUCUUUUGUAUGCACCACGGUAAGAUUCCCUUCUCGAUAAUAAUGGUGUAGUUAUAGUUAGAAAUUCAAUUCGAUUAUGAAUCAUUGAUAAAAUUCACAGUUUUGUCAAUUAAUCGCAGAACAAGUGGACAGAUGUGGGAUGAAAAAUUGGAAAUAUUCAGAAGGAAGAAUCGGGUCCUCGUUUUUCUGAUCCGAGAGUGAUUAACGAUUUUGGCUGGCGCGGAGUGAUUUCACCGAUCGAUUCGGAACUCGUGAAAUUCGUUGGCAAUUAGCGGAACAUGGUUAGGCGAACGAAAAGACGGGGUUUACGAAUUAGACACGGUGCGAUGACCGGGUGAAAUCCGUGGCCCGAGGCCACAUGAUAAUAAUUGCGAGGAUCGGUGGGAGUGUUGGAGACGAGGGUGGCGACGAAAGAGUACUGUAUCGACACAGCUGUCCAACGCACGGGAAACGUGCUCACCGCCAUUGUGUCGGCCAGUGCACGGUCUAACCAACCGUAAACACCUAAAAUCUAAUUGACGAGAUUCAAUUUCGCUCCGACAAUGGCCGGCCGCGACGGAUUAUCGCGUCUAUACUUUCCAAAAAUUACAUAGGAAUCGGCCGUACGAAUUCGUCACGGGCCAAGGAUUCGGCGAAAUCCUUCGCCGAAUCGCGUUAACGGCAUUGCUUGCGUUCAGAGCACGUGCGACGAACCGUUAAGCCGAUCAUCGCGCGUUAAAAUCUCGAAUCUCUUGGAAAUUGCGACUAAAAUAUAUAUAUAGUGAAAAAGAAAAAAGAGAGGAGGAGGCUAUUGUUGCGCACCGUGAGAGCACACGGUAAAUUGAUUAAAGAUUUAUAGGGGUAGAGGUAGUCGAGUAGUUCAAUGCUAUGGAAGUCUUCAAAGUCUUGGGUUAAAGGUUCGAUCUCGUGUUAAUUUAUUCCCGUAGAGAGAGGCUAAUGUUAUUUUUCAAUUUACAUGGAAUAGGUAAGUUAAAACUUGUCGAUACUUUCAUAUAUUUCAGGUGGGAACUUUUUAACGCUCUUUCAAACGUGUCCUUAAUAAAUCAAAAAGAAUGCUUUUCCACGGAAUAUCUUUAAUUGCGAUAAAUCUUACUAAUCCUUAAAGCUUAAAUGAUCGCUUUUUGUUUUCGUAUUUCCAUCAAAAUGCUUUCCUUCCCCAAUCCGGAUCCGAGAGAGAGAGAGAGGAGGGGGGAGGAUAUUAGGCAGGGUGAAUUAUCGUAGAAUCAAAAUAAUUCGAUAGAUGGGGUGUAGUACGAGAGGGGUGGCCAUUUCUGCACGUUGGGGCGCCAAAACAUCCCCCUUUACUCGCUGAAAUAUUGUCAAACGAUCGAUCCUCCUUACCUCUCUCCUCUUUCAAAACCAAACCUUCAAAAUCUUCACGAUCGUCCCAUACUCGUUUACGUAUUAUUACUCUGACCCCUCCGUUAAAACCGUGGUCGUUUACUUAGAAAAAAGACGUUCAAACUCUCGCAAGAGAGAAACUUGCGCCGAGAGUUGUGCAAUACGACAAUACUUUAGCCGCCCAUAUUCCAUAUCCGUAUUUAUUCAUUCGAGCUAAUUUUUUGGGCGUGGAAUCGCCUAUUAGAUGGUCGUGUUGCGCCUAAGGGCAGAUUGACGCCGUGGCUUGGAAACAGAAAAAAAGAAAAAGGAAGAAAAGUAAUGGAGACAGCUGGCAGAACGUUCGAAUCAUCGUGUUUUCGAGAUCGAUUAUUUUUAACGGCGAUUCGCGGGACUUUUCGAGGAAGGUUCCACGAGCGUGUACGUGACACGAGGUUGGAUCGUAUUUAAAAUGCAGAAAGGCAAACGGUGGCGUGUCAAGAGCCCCGUCAGGUGGCCGGUUUAAAUAGCACAAUGGCUCAAUCCGGGGCGAAAAUCCGCCGGGUAAAUCUCCCAUUCAAAUGCGAUCUCAAUCCCCUGCAUCAAAUGGGAUCUAAGUAGCUACUUAGUUGCACAUUUGGCUUUGAAAUUUUCGAUACACCCCUGCUGCCUCCCCGACAACAGCGUGCUAGAAUUCCGCGAUCCUAUCUCCACGCGCUUUUGCGAUUGAACCACCGCCGUACCUGGACGCGUCACGCUAAUCCGUUUUCGAAUUCACCCUUAUGCCAACUAUUAUGUUACACGUUCCCGUGGAGAUGCGAGUGUACCGCUCUCGAAAUGAAAAAAUCUGCGAUUCUUCGAUUCCAUUGUAAAAUAGGGAAGAGGUAUUAAGUAUGUUAUAGUCUGAUACGUGUACUUAUAACAAUUUACGGUGUAUCUGUAAUUUAACAUUUUAAAAUCACGAAACUUAAGACUACCAGAUCCACCGCAUUCGUGUAAUCUUAACUUAUACGAAUCUUAACUCCAUUUGUUCGAAUGAAAUAAAACUUAAAAUUCUUCGUAAAUUUAGAGUUUACACGGGAUAAUUCUCGCGUAAAGAGACGAUCAAAGAAAGCUUUUAAAAUUAAUUCUAAGCCCUUGUGUUAAUCUGGGACGGGGAGGUUGGCGUAAAACUUGGCCGAGAGGGGAAGAUCGGAUGUAACGUCGCUAAUUCAAUCGGGAUCAAUUAGAGGAACGAAGUGUUUUCUAUAAAUUCACGAGGUUAACGAGAUUCCAAUUCGGUAUAUAAUUACGAACGAUCGGGCCGCAAGGGUCCCUCGGUUAGCCACCGCGGACGGGAAUAAUUAGUUUUAAUUGCCCCGGCGAAACUUAUCCCUCCCCGUUGACGCAUUAAGACCAAAGUUAGACGGGCCACAGGAGGUUUAGGUUUUGCGAAGCGUGAGCAGGUAAGGUAUACACGUACUACGUGACACGGUUGGUAAACCCAAAGCUGGCUUUGUUAAGCUCGGAUUCUGAGUGCCUUUGAUACGUGUACUUGCACGCUAACUAACCAACCUAAGCUAUCCACAGCGAGCUCGCUGUACGUACGAGAGGUGCGCGUGUGUUACGUGCUUUUCUAUAUCGCCCCGGGCAGGGACGUGUAAUUGUUGGUUCGUUGAUUUUACGAUUUUCAAUUUUCUCGUAGUUGCAGUUUUUUUUCUCGCAUCGAUGUGCUCCAAUUCAACGAUUAAAAAAUUACGCCAAUAUUUUGCGCGAAAAUUUCUCGAAGAACUGAUCGAUCUUUCGUUCUUUAGUUUUUCAUUAAAGAAGCGACAAUUGCGUGUUAAUUUUAAAUCGGUGAAGAGUGAAGAAUGACAGUUCAUUGGUUGGAACAUAUGCGAAUUAACUCGUUGUCUGGAGCAAAUUGGUUAAAAUGUAGUCGUAGGAGCCCGUAGUGAUUCGACGUCCCUGUCUCUUACCUAUGUUACCCUCGACAUCGUCUAUACGAGUAUGACCUACACGUGCGCGAUACAUUUCCAACUGGGAAUUGAAUUUCCUUGGUAAUUUUAAUGCCAUUGUGGCUGGGAAGGGGUGGAGAGAGGCACCGAGACAGAGGGUAACAAACACAACCACAAAGUGUGCAUCCCCUAACCACCUCGUAGACGCAAAAUUUAGUUGGAGACGAAUACGAUAUCCUUGC